CAUCUUGUACAAGGGACCUUGAACGAGGAGCCGUGGGGGGCACGGCUUUGAGGCGGGGUUUGAAGGAGCGGCAGGUGGGCGGGCUCCUAACAGACGUGGCAGAUAGAAAAGUAUGAAGGUGGCUUCUGGAUCUCAGCACGAAGAGAUGGUACCUGGCCACAAGGACCCCUCAUGUGCACUGAUUGGACAAAUCACUCAUCCCAAGGGAAACCUGUUGCUAUAUCCUGAGGCUACUCGAGCAGACCUGUGGAAUGGUCCACAGGGCAAGGAACCAAGGCCUCCGGUCCACAGGCAGCACCAACUUGCCACCCUGUGAGUGACAGGCCUUAGAAGCAGGUCCUACAGCCUCAGCCAGGCCUUCAGAUGACCGCAGCCUAGCUGACAUUUGCUACUUUCUAACAAACAUGGAGCCAGAACAUUAAGGCAUUCCCCAGUUCCUGGCUCACAGAAACUGUGAGGUGAGGGGCGCCUGGGUGGCUUAGUCAGUUAAGCCUCUGACUUCAGCUCAGGCCAU